CUACAGGCUUAACACAUGCAAGUCGAGGGGCAUUAUGGUCUUAGCUUGCUAAGGCCGAUGGCGACCGGCGCACGGGUGAGUAACACGUAUCCAACCUGCCGUCUACUCUUGGACAGCCUUCUGAAAGGAAGAUUAAUACAAGAUGGCAUCAUGAGUCCGCAUGUUCACAUGAUUAAAGGUAUUCCGGUAGACGAUGGGGAUGCGUUCCAUUAGAUAGUAGGCGGGGUAACGGCCCACCUAGUCUUCGAUGGAUAGGGGUUCUGAGAGGAAGGUCCCCCACAUUGGAACUGAGACACGGUCCAAACUCCUACGGGAGGCAGCAGUGAGGAAUAUUGGUCAAUGGGCGAGAGCCUGAACCAGCCAAGUAGCGUGAAGGAUGACUGCCCUAUGGGUUGUAAACUUCUUUUAUAAAGGAAUAAAGUCGGGUAUGGAUACCCGUUUGCAUGUACUUUAUGAAUAAGGAUCGGCUAACUCCGUGCCAGCAGCCGCGGUAAUACGGAGGAUCCGAGCGUUAUCCGGAUUUAUUGGGUUUAAAGGGAGCGUAGAUGGAUGUUUAAGUCAGUUGUGAAAGUUUGCGGCUCAACCGUAAAAUUGCAGUUGAUACUGGAUAUCUUGAGUGCAGUUGAGGCAGGCGGAAUUCGUGGUGUAGCGGUGAAAUGCUUAGAUAUCACGAAGAACUCCGAUUGCGAAGGCAGCCUGCUAAGCUGCAACUGACAUUGAGGCUCGAAAGUGUGGGUAUCAAACAGGAUUAGAUACCCUGGUAGUCCACACGGUAAACGAUGAAUACUCGCUGUUUGCGAUAUACUGCAAGCGGCCAAGCGAAAGCGUUAAGUAUUCCACCUGGGGAGUACGCCGGCAACGGUGAAACUCAAAGGAAUUGACGGGGGCCCGCACAAGCGGAGGAACAUGUGGUUUAAUUCGAUGAUACGCGAGGAACCUUACCCGGGCUUAAAUUGCAGAUGAAUUACGGUGAAAGCCGUAAGCCGCAAGGCAUCUGUGAAGGUGCUGCAUGGUUGUCGUCAGCUCGUGCCGUGAGGUGUCGGCUUAAGUGCCAUAACGAGCGCAACCCUUGUUGUCAGUUACUAACAGGUUCCGCUGAGGACUCUGACAAGACUGCCAUCGUAAGAUGUGAGGAAGGUGGGGAUGACGUCAAAUCAGCACGGCCCUUACGUCCGGGGCUGCACACGUGUUACAAUGGGGGGUACAGAGGGCCGCUACCACGCGAGUGGAUGCCAGUCCCCAAAACCUCUCUCAGUUCGGACUGGAGUCUGCAACCCGACUCCACGAAGCUGGAUUCGCUAGUAAUCGCGCAUCAGCCACGGCGCGGUGAAUACGUUCCCGGGC
rnacentral:rRNA from 1 species